rnacentral:rRNA from 1 species
AUUGAACGCUGGCGGCAGGCCUAACACAUGCAAGUCGAGCGGAUGAAGGGAGCUUGCUCCUGGAGUCAGCGGCGGACGGGUGAGUAAUGCCUAGGAAUCUGCCUGGUAGUGGGGGAUAACGUCCGGAAACGGGCGCUAAUACCGCAUACGUCCUGAGGGAGAAAGUGGGGGAUCUUCGGACCUCACGCUAUCAGAUGAGCCUAGGUCGGAUUAGCUAGUUGGUGGGGUAAAGGCCUACCAAGGCGACGAUCCGUAACUGGUCUGAGAGGAUGAUCAGUCACACUGGAACUGAGACACGGUCCAGACUCCUACGGGAGGCAGCAGUGGGGAAUAUUGGACAAUGGGCGAAAGCCUGAUCCAGCCAUGCCGCGUGUGUGAAGAAGGUCUUCGGAUUGUAAAGCACUUUAAGUUGGGAGGAAGGGCAGUAAGUUAAUACCUUGCUGUUUUGACGUUACCAACAGAAUAAGCACCGGCUAACUUCGUG